GUGCCAGCAGCCGCGGUAAUACGUGGGGGGCAAGCGUUAUCCGGAAUUACUGGGUGUAAAGGGAGCGUAGACGGCUGUGCAAGUCUGGAGUGAAAGGCGGGGGCCCCCCCCCCGGACUGCUCUGGAAACUGUAUGGCUGGAGUGCAGGAGAGGUAAGCGGAAUUCCUAGUGUAGCGGUGAAAUGCGUAUAUAUUAGGAGGAACACCAGUGGCGAAGGCGGCUUACUGGACUGUAACUGACGUUGAGGCUCGAAAGCGUGGGGAGCAAACAGGAUUAUAUACCCUGGUACUCCACGCCGUAAACGAUGAUUACUAGGUGUCGGUGGGUAUGGACCCAUCGGUGCCGCAACAAACGCAGUAAGUAAUCCACCUGGGGAGUACGUUCGCAAGAAUGAAACUCAAAGGAAUUGACGGGGACCCGCACAAGGGGUGGAUCUUGUGUUUUAAUCCGAAGCACGCGAAGUACCUUACCCAGUCUUGACAUCUGGGAUGACAGGAACCGCACCCCUCCCCUUACUUCCCGCACAUCCAAAAUGGGUGGUGCAUGGUUGUCUUCAGCUC
rnacentral:rRNA from 1 species